rnacentral:rRNA from 1 species
AUACGGAGGAUGCAAGCGUUAUCCGGAUUUAUUGGGUUUAAAGGGUGCGUAGGCGGUUUGCUAAGCGGGAGGUGAAAUGCCGGCGCUCAACGUCGGAAGUGCCUCCCGAACUGGUGGACUUGAAUGACUCUGCCGUGGGAGGAAUGUGUAGUGUAGCGGUGAAAUGCUUAGAGAUUACACAGAACACCGAUUGCGAAGGCAUCUCACGAAGGGUUGAUUGACGCUGAGGCACGAAAGCGUGGGGAUCAAACAGGAUUAGAUACCCUGGUAGUCCACGCAGUAAACGAUGAUGGCUAACCGCUGGGCUUAUCAGUUCAGUGGCCAAGCGAAAGCGAUAAGCCAUCCACCUGGGGAGUAUGACCGCAAGGUUGAAACUCAAAUGAAUUGACGGGU